rnacentral:rRNA from 1 species
UACGUAGGGUGCAAGCGUUAAUCGGAAUUACUGGGCGUAAAGCGUGCGCAGGCGGUUUUUGUAAGUCUGACGUGAAAAGCCCCGGGGCUCAACCUGGGGAAAAUUGCGUUGGAGACUGCAAAGGCUUGAAAUCUGGGCAGAGGGUAGAAAUUUCCACGUGUAGCAGUGAAAUGCGUAGAGAUGUGGGAGGGAAACACCCGAUGGGCGAAAGGGCAGCCCUGGGUCAAAGAUUUGACG